AUUUAAAUGGAAUUUACGAAUUUUAGAAAUAAAUAUGGAAUUAACGAACAUUUAUUUUUAUACGUUUUAAAGAUUUCAACGAUUUAUGAAAUUAAAAUAAUUUUAGAAUUUGAUGUUGAAAAGAAUUUGAAUUACGAAAACCCGUUCGAAAUUGGAAAACAAUCCUAGUUGGUUUUGGAUUCAAACAUUAAAGCUAAAUCCUAAUUCUAGGCCCAAUUGGGUAAAGCCCAAUAUUAUAAACCCAAAACUCUUUACUCCUCUUUCAAUAUUACGUAAAAACACAAAAAAAAAAAGAAACAACUAGCCUUCUCCUUCACUUUCACGUGAACAAGGAACCAUCAAACCCUCACAAACCUUGGUGAUUUCUCCCUCACGCUGCUGUCCACGCCGCCGCCACCACCGUCGGCGCUCCUCCACCGUCGUUCCGCCGUCGCGCUGCACGCCACAACAACCACCUUGCUACCCUUGUUGCGCCGCCGCGCCCUCCGACGACAUUAGCCGGCGAGCUCUCUCUCCCUUCUCCUUCGAGCAAGCACACCCUCCUUUGUUUCGUUCUGCUGCACACGGGCACACACAACCGCCGCUGCACGGCCGCCGCAACCACCAGCAGUGUUGCCCAGUCGCGCUGCGCCACCGUCCCGCCUGCUGCCGCCGGCCAGCAACUCCUCUGUCCUCUUUAUUGGCGGAGAAUUCUCUUUAGGCGACUUUUGAAAGUGUUAAAGUGGCCUAUCAGUUUGUUUACACAAGUCUCUAAGGAUCAAUAAGCGUUGCCCAUCUACAGGUUUGAAGAUGAUGCAUCAUUGGGAUCGGGAUUAGAGAGCUUGUAGUUAUAUUUGCCUUAUUAAGUGAUUUGGUUUGUUAACUUAAAUUUGAAAUUUGUCGUACUAUUCGUAUUUCCUUAUUUCAUUAAUUGGUUUUGGACCUAAUAUGUAAUAAGAUUAUUUAUGAACCUAAAAGUUAGUUUUAUGUUUUCCGCUGCAAAAUUCUGAAUAAGCCGUACGU